GUUGUAUAGUUAAGUGAGAAAGCGUACAGGGCGGAUGCCUUGGCAAUCAGAGGCGAAGAAGGACGUGCUAAUCUGCGAAAAGCGUGGGUGAGUUGAUAAGAAGCGUUUAACCCACGAUGUCCGAAUGGGGAAACCCGAUAGGCGAAGAGUCUAUCAUUACGAGGUGAAUAAAAUAGCCUCGUAAGGCGAACCGGGAGAACUGAAACAUCUAAGUACCCCGAGGAAAAGAAAUCAACCGAGAUUCUGUGAGUAGCGGCGAGCGAAAGCGGAGGAGCCAGUAAGUAAUAGCAGCAGAGAUAGAGGAAUUGUCUGGGAAGGCAAGCGACACAGGGUGAUAGCCCCGUACUUAAAAUCCAGGCUGUGGUACUAAGCUUACGAGAAGUAGGGCGGGACACGAGGAAUCCUGUCUGAAGAUGGGGGGACCAUCCUCCAAGGCUAAAUACUCCUGAUUGACCGAUAGUGAACCAGUACUGUGAAGGAAAGGCGAAAAGAACCCCGGUGAGGGGAGUGAAAUAGAACCUGAAACCCUGUACGUACAAGCAGUGGGAGCCCCAUCACUCAAACACAUUGAGUGUUGGAAGAGGCAAAAGCACCAAAAAUAACACCGCACUUUAAAGUGCAGGGUAAGACGAGCAAAGCGAGUCAAACCCAAAAAUAGCAGUGUGAUUGAGUGAUGGGGUGACUGCGUACCUUUUGUAUAAUGGGUCAGCGACUUAUAUUUUGUAGCGAGGUUAACUGAAUAAGGGAGCCGAAGGGAAACCGAGUCUUAACUGGGCGGUGAGUUGCAAGGUAUAGACCCGAAACCCGGUGAUCUAGCCAUGGGCAGGUUGAAGGUUGGGUAACACUAACUGGAGGACCGAACCGACUAAUGUUGAAAAAUUAGCGGAUGACCUGUGGCUGGGGGUGAAAGGCCAAUCAAACCGGGAGAUAGCUGGUUCUCCCCGAAAUCUAUUUAGGUAGAGCCUUGUGUGAAUACCUUUGGGGGUAGAGCACUGUUUCGGCUAGGGGCCCAUCCCGGGUUACCAAACCGAUGCAAACUCCGAAUACCAAAGAGUAAUGCACAGGAGACACACGGCGGGUGCUAACGUCCGUCGUGGAGAGGGAAACAACCCAGACCGCCAGCUAAGGUCCCAAAAUCUAUAUUAAGUGGGAAACGAAGUGGGAAGGCUUAGACAGCUAGGAUGUUGGCUUAGAAGCAGCCACCAUUUAAAGAAAGCGUAAUAGCUCACUAGUCGAGUCGGCCUGCGCGGAAGAUGUAACGGGGCUAAAAUAUAGUACCGAAGCUGCGGCAUCAAUCGAAGGAUUGUUGGGUAGGGGAGCGUUGUGUAAGCGGAAGAAGGUGGUUCGAGAGGAUUGCUGGACGUAUCACAAGUGCGAAUGCUGACAUAAGUAACGAUAAAACGGGUGAAAAACCCGUUCGCCGGAAGACCAAGGGUUCUGUCAACGUUAAUCGGGGCAGGGUGAG
rnacentral:rRNA from 1 species